GCUUGAAACAGCAUGCAUCUGUUACCUCACCAGGCUAUAUAUGAGAAAUUCAGUAGGUUCAGUUGGUUUCUCUGCUUGAGUCUCACAAGCUUGAAAUCAAGGCAUUGUCUGGGCUGCUGUCCCUUCCAGGGGCUCCAGGGAAGAAUCCAUUUCCAGUUCACCCAGGUGGUUGGCAGAACUCAAUAUGUACUCAGGUCUCUCCUCUGUGACCCUAAACCCUUCCAAGCAGCUUCCAGUGUAUCAGAAAGAAGUCAUGGCUGCCUACAGAGGGAAGAGGCACUCAGAAGCUCCCCCCUCACAUCUCUGCUGUUGCUGACAAUGCCUUUCAGGUUAAGCUUCACAGUCAAUGCCAACCAAAAUAGAAGUGUGACAGAUAACUGAGCUCCAACAUAUAUUCAUAGGUUCAGCAUCAACUAAGCCAGACUCUUUGAACCUGACUGAUCUUGACUUUUUUCAUCUUUCUUCCAAAUAAUAUUUUAUAACCAAAUCUGAAAACAGGUGUGGUUGUUGCUUAUCAAAACAAGAAUAGUAUGAAUCAGGAGAUGGAAGACUUGCCACAUUAUAGAAUUCUGCUAAGAACUUAAUCAGCUAUACUACUCUUACAUGCAUCUCAAGAGAUUUUACAAAAUUCAAUCAGGGAAGUGAAUCCUAUCUUGGAAACAUUUUCAAAUACCAAAACCCUGAGAAAUGACAACUUAUAUUUUAUUACAUUUUACUGAUUUGCUAUACUUUCUCC
rnacentral:lncRNA from 1 species